CACGGGGGCAACCCUGGUGGCGAGUGGCGAACGGGUGAGUAACACAUCGGAACGUGUCCAGUUGUGGGGGAUAACCCAUCGAAAGGUGGGCUAAUACCGCAUGAUCUGGCAACAGCAAAGCAGGGGACCGCAAGGCCUUGUGCGAUUGGAGCGGCCGAUGUCCGAUUAGCUAGUUGGUGGGGUAAAGGCCCACCAAGGCGACGAUCGGUAGCUGGUCUGAGAGGAUGAUCAGCCACACUGGGACUGAGACACGGCCCAGACUCCUACGGGAGGCAGCAGUGGGGAAUUUUGGACAAUGGGGGCAACCCUGAUCCAGCCAUGCCGCGUGAGUGAAGAAGGCCUUCGGG
rnacentral:rRNA from 1 species